UACGUAGGGUGCGAGCGUUAAUCGGAAUUACUGGGCGUAAAGCGUGCGCAGGCGGUUGUGCAAGACAGAGGUGAAAUCCCCGGGCUUAACCUGGGAACUGCCUUUGUGACUGCACGGCUAGAGUGUGUCAGAGGGGGGUAGAAUUCCACGUGUAGCAGUGAAAUGCGUAGAUAUGUGGAGGAAUACCGAUGGCGAAGGCAGCCCCCUGGGAUAACACUGACGCUCACGCACGAAAGCGUGGGGAGCAAACAGG
rnacentral:rRNA from 1 species